CCUGAGGAAGAUGUGCCCAGAUGGGUCUGGGCAUGUGCAACAACUCAUGCAUAAGCAUCUCUGGGCAUAAAGAGGACUGAAGUUCCACUCAGUGUCAGACUUGCUCUGCUUACACGUGUGGUCUUGUACCAGGAAGGAAAGGAGCAGAAUGAGGAAUUUUGAAGAACUGGCUCAUGGUGGCUGGCUUCAGUACUACUAGAGUGAGUAAUGAAGACCCCCUCCCUUUGCCCCUGUUAAAACCCUAGGUUUCCUGCACUGACCUCCCUGUUUGCCUACUGCAGGCCGGGGGCCCAUACUUCUCUGUGGAGGUGGCUUGCACCAGGAAUUUUGUUUUACCAAGCACUAUUGAAAAUAUCUUCCUAAACUGAAAGUUCCAUCCCAUGAGGGAUUCCACUGCCUUAGCCAUUGUGAGCUGAGAGUGCUUAGCACCUUGCAAGAUCAGGUUACUCUCCACAGAAGUUGUGUCACACCUCCAUCAAAAUCCUGGUGCUCAGCUUGAAGAGAAGCAUAAAAUCAGCAACACCAUUGGAACAGAGAUAAGUGCAAAUGAAUUGUAAGUACGGGAGAAGAGGAAAAGGGUUUGUGUGGUAAACACAUGAUGGCGCUCUCUCUCAGGCACGCACACACACGCGCGCACACACACACACACACACACACACACGCGCGCGCGCGCGCACACACACACACACACACACACACACACACACACACACUCACUCACUCACUCACUCACUCACUCACUCACUCACUCCACAGUAUCCUGAGAGCCCAGCCAGGAUGCAGCAAACUGGCAGCCUAGAAUUACUGCAGAGCACCUCAUUCCACCUGCCCACAUUUUACCGCUCCCAUCGUUCCUCCUCUUUUGCCCCAACCACCCAUAUGCAUGGAGGUUGCAGACCUGGCUUUCUCUUCUCCUCUCCUUCUUCUCAUCCUCUCCUCUCCUCAUUAAUUCACUUGCUUCCUAAUGCCCUUCUAGGUUCCACAGGGAGCUGGACCAGCCCAGGAGGACAGUUCAUCCUCACUCCAUCCAAAGAUGCUUUGGGAGUUUCUGCUGGCUGUUUCUAUCUUCAAAGUCCCGUUAGUGCAGAAGAGGCCUUCAGCUCCUCCAUGUUCAACCCCCACCUCAUCAGUGCUGCACUGAAUUUAAAUUGCUGCUGUGAAGCUGGCUCAAAGUGA
rnacentral:lncRNA from 1 species